rnacentral:rRNA from 1 species
CCUACGGGAGGCAGCAGUGGGGGAUAUUGCACAAUGGGGGAAACCCUGAUGCAGCGACGCCGCGUGAGGGAAGAAGUUCUUCUGUAUUUUAAGCCCUAGCCCCCAGGAAUGGAAAAGAAGGUACCUGGGGAGGAAGCUCCGGCUAACUACGUGCCAGCAGCCGCGGUAAUACGUAGGGCGCAAGCGUUGUCCGGAAUUACUGGGUGUAAAGGAAGCGUAGACGGAAAGGCAAGUCGGUAGUAAAAACCAACGGCUCAACCAUGGGACGCUCUUAAAACUGCAGACCUUGAGGAAAGUAGAGGUAAGCGGAAUUCCUAGUGUAGCGGUGAAAUGCGUAGAUAUUAGGAGGAACACCAGUGGCGAAGGCGUCCUGCUGGACCUAAACUGACGUUGAGGCUCGAAAGCGUGGGGAGCAAACAGGAUUAGAUACCCCAGUAGUC